rnacentral:tRNA from 1 species
UCUCCGAUAGCUAAAGUUUUAUAGUGUGGUCUUGAAGCGUCCGAGUUGAUGUUAUAUCUCGGGGAA